AUGGGAUCCUAUAUGGGGACAUGGGGUCUUGGGGUCGUAUAUGGGCCCAUGGGGUCAUAUAUGGGGUCCAAUAUGGGGCUAUGGGGUCAUAUAUGGGGUCAUGGGGUCCUAUAUGGGAUCCUAUAUGGGGACAUGGGGUCCUAUAUGGGAUCCUAUAUGGGGUCCUAUAUGGGGACAUGGGGUCUUGGGGUCGUAUAUGGGGCAUAUAUGGGGUCCUAUAUGGGAUCCUAUAUGGGGAUAUGGGGCCCUAUAUGGGGACAUGGGUUCCUAUAUAGGAUCCUAUAUGGGGAUAUGGGGUCCUAUAUGGGAUCCUAUAUGGGGACAUGGGGUCUUGGGGUCGUAUAUGGGGCCAUGGGGUCCUAUAUGAGAUCCUAUAUUGGAUAUGGGGUCCUAUAUGGGAUAUGGGGUCAUAUAUGGGGUCAUGGGGUCAUAUAUGGGGUCCAAUAUGGGGCUAUGGGGUCAUAUAUGGGGUCAUGGGGUCCUAUAUGGGAUCCUAUAUGGGGACAUGGGGUCCUAUAUGGGAUCCUAUAUGGGGACAUGGGGUUCUAUAUGGGAUCCUAUAUGGGGACAUGGGGUUCUAUAUGGGAUCCAAUAUGGGCUCCUGUCUCUUUAAGAAACACCUUUCAUCCACUUCCGGUCUAAGCCCAUCCCUUUUCCUGUCUAAGCUCCUCCCCUUCCGGUCUUAGCCCCUCCUUUUCCGGUACCUGCAACCCCCAUACCCGUAUUAUCCCACUACUUCCGGGUUUGACACCCACUUCCUGUUUAAACCCCGCCCCUUCCGGUCGACCCCCCACUUCUUAUCUCAGCUCCCCCAACAUUCCCUUAUCCCAUCACUUCCGGGUUUAACCCAUUCUAAGCCCCGCCCCUUCCGGUGUAAGCUCCUCCCCUUCCGGUCUAACCCCACUUAUCCCCCCAUUCUCCAUAUAUCCCAUCACUUCCGGGUUUAACCCUGUCUAAUAGCUCCUCUUCCGGUCUAAGCCCCUCCCCUUCCGCUCCACUACCACUUCCGCUUCCGUUUCACUUCCGGGUUCUCCCUCAUAGCCGCCAUGUUUCACGGCGUCGCGGUUCCACCAGCGGCGGGGGGUGAGUCCAUAGGAAUUAAUGGGGGUCAAUAGGAUUUAAUGGGGGUAAUAGGAUAUAAUGGGGGUCUAUGGGAUAUAAUGGGGGUCUAUGGGAUAUAAUGGGGGUCUAUGGGGUUAUAAUGGGGGGCUGCUAUGGGAUAUAUGGGGGUCUAUUGGGAUAUAAUGGGGGGUUCCUAUGGAUAUUUAAUGGGGGUCUAUGGGGUAUGACAUGGGGGUCUAUGUGGAUAAUAAUGGGGUCUAUGGGGAUAUUAAUCGGGGGUCUAAUGGGGUUAUAAUGGGGUCUAUGGGGUUUAUAAUGUGGGUGUCUAUGGGUUAUAAUGGGGUCUAUAGAUAUACUAAUGGGUCUAUGGGGUUAGUAUGGGGUCUGAUGGAUAUAAUGGGGUCUAUGGGGUUAUAAGUGGGGGUCUAUGGGGUUAUAGUGGGUGGUCUAUGGGUAUAAUGGGGGUCUAUGGGGUUAUACUGAUGGGGGUCUAAGGGUUAUAAUGGGGGUCUAAGAUGGGAUAUAAUGGGGGUCUAUGGGGUUAUAAUGGGGGUCUAUGGGGUUAUAAAUGGGGAUUCUA
ensembl:lncRNA